CUAACCAAGUCGAUGUAUUCCUAAACCUAAGUAGGUAAUUCAAGUCUAUGUUUUAUUUUGAAAAGACUGGAGCGGAAAUUGACAAGCGCGUCACGUGUUGCCGAACAUUCGUAAGAAAACACACGAAAAAUACGUUGUUGAAAGUCACGUUGAGUGUCAC